ensembl:lncRNA
GUGGGUGGGGGUUUUCCGCAGCCCCUUCCUCCGGCGUCCCCGAAGCCGUCUUUCCCAGUCCCGCCUCCCACCGGACACCACCCAGGUGGUGUAGGCGCGGGUGGCCGCUCAGCCACGGGAGGGCAGCAGCGGCCCUUUCCUGACCCCACCCCGGGCGCCUCUGAACUUUCCCGACCCCGGUCCGCCCGUAAGAGCUGGAAUGUGGCGCUGAGGCAGAGUCUUCCCGGGUCCAGAUCGCCGCGCCUAGCCCCGCCGCGCGCUUCUCCGCAGUCCAGGCAUUUCCCGGACCCUGAGGGCCAGCGCUGGGCUACCCGCUGGGGCCGUGGGCGGGGGCCGGGGGCGGGCGGAGCCAAGAGCCGCCCGGCCCGCCCCUCCCGGCCAGUCGCCCCUCCCCGCCGCGGCGCUGGAGGAGGGCGGGGCGGCGGGGCGGCGGGGCCCCGCGGGUCAGUCUCUGCCUCCCGCACCCGCAGCGCAGCUGGAAGCGGCGGAGCGGAAGGUGUCCGAGUCGAAGUCCGUUCCCUUCUGUCGGCUUCCCAGAACCUGCUCGGCAGGGCGAGGAGGAGAGGGGGCAACUUGGGUCUCCGCGAGGGAGCUCCCGCGCAGAUGCUUAGCUCUCAGGUCUGGCGGCCCGCGGUGGACCUUGGCUGGGGUGUGAGUUGGGGCCCGAGUCCGGCUUGAGGUGGGAAUUCCCCCCCCGCCGGGCCUGUGAAGUGGCAGGAAUAAGGGUGGGGUGUGACCGCGGGGGCUGCCACUGCUCCGGGGGUCUGGACCUCGCCCAGGAUGGUUUCUGGAGCCGGCCUGGAGUGGAGGUACGGGAAAUUGGGAAGGAUCCAAGCCGUGUGUGUGUGUGUGUGUGUGUGUGUGUGUGUGUGUGUAUCUAUCUGUUGCUUCCUUCACACUCCCCAACCUGUCUAAAGAGUAUCCUGGGAGUUUGGCCUGGGGGACCCAAGGCCAAGUCACUUCUGGGUUUCAAGUCGAGGAGGAGGUAUCUGAUUUCUUCCCUAGACAUCAGGGGUGGUCAUCAGGAUACAUCAGCCCCUGGUUCAUCUGGAAAGCUUGAGAAUGAUUGAGGAACUGUUUUAUCCCAGGGAAGGCCCCAAGAGUUCGACUCAUACCAGGUCCUCUGGGGUUUGGUUGCCCCUCUUGGAGUCAGUGGGGCAGUUGCUCAGGGGUUGCCUCUCACAGGGAGCUGUUGUCGUUACUGUCUUGGCCUUGGGCCUGGCGGCCUGGCCUGGGUCUAGGACUCCUCUGAGCCUGAAGGGAAAGUCUUAAUUGAGCUGGGGGAGGGUGUGCUCCAGAUCAUUCCAGCAGGCCCCUGCCCUGGAGUUCUGGCCUCUGACCCGCACGAUCUGGUGCUACCUACACUGCCCUGCUGGGGUGGGAGAGCGUAGUGGCAAACUCAGAGCUAGGCAACUGGUAUUCACCCUGGUGGUGGAUGCCCUCCAUCUGUCCAUCAAUGCUGCCUGUCCCAGAUUGGGGCUACCACAGCCUGUCUUCCCUCAGUUGGACCAAUGGAACUUGUGGGAAUAUGAGAGGGAGUUGGUCACUUGGGUAGAAUUUUCAGGAGACCUCCUUUUCUGAAGGAUGGUUUUUCUUUGUGGAGGAAAUCAGCUGGCAGGGUGAAUGCCUUCUUGCUUGCCUUUUGGGGUAUCAGAGGGUGUUAGAGAGUGGCCGUGUGCUCAACUCCUAUAAAUUCCGUCUGAUUCACAUCCGCUUCCCCUCAUCCCAGUGUUGUGCAUGUGUGUGUGGAGGAGAGGGAGGCCACCCGGGAUCCCACUGUUGAAGAGAACUUGCCUUGGGCUGUAAUAUUCGCUUCCUAAAAGGCAGGGCUGGGCUGUGAGGUGGUGGUGGUGGUGUGUAGGGAGUGCGGGAGCUCAGCCUAGUUUGACAGGAUGUGGGACUGAGAGAAAAAGCCAGGUUUGGGGCAGAGAUCAGGUUACUGUCCCCUUCUUUCUUAACCACUCCCUGUGUGGCUGGCGCUGGAAUUGGCCUUCAUUGGUCUCCCUUUUGGAGUUCCUCCCAGCGCCGGCCCCGGCUCCCGCUCGCUCCUCCCCACAGCCUCGAUUUCAUCUCAGGCCCGAAGCCCGCCCUCUCUUCCCCCCAG